CCUACGGGAGGCAGCAGUAGGGAAUAUUGCUCAAUGGGGGAAACCCUGAAGCAGCAACGCCGCGUGGAGGAUGAAGGUUUUCGGAUUGUAAACUUCUUUUGUUAGAGAAGAUAAUGACGGUAUCUAACGAAUAAGCACCGGCUAACUCCGUGCCAGCAGCCGCGGUAAUACGGAGGGUGCAAGCGUUACUCGGAAUCACUGGGCGUAAAGAGCGCGUAGGCGGGAUAGCAAGUCAGAUGUGAAAUCCUAUGGCUUAACCAUAGAACUGCAUUUGAAACUGUUAUUCUAGAGUAUGGGAGAGGUAGGUGGAAUUCUUGGUGUAGGGGUAAAAUCCGUAGAGAUCAAGAGGAAUACUCAUGGCGAAGGCGACCUACUAGAACAUAACUGACGCUGAUGCGCGAAAGCGUGGGGAGCAAACAGGAUUAGAUACCCUAGUAGUC
rnacentral:rRNA from 1 species